CCCAACAGUUCACGUCGCGUGACGCACGACACAAAAAUCACGAAAGUUAAGCAACGUAGGGCACGGAUAGAACUUAGAUGGGUGACCGCUUGGGAACUCCGUGUGGUGUUGGCU
rnacentral:rRNA from 13 species